AGAGUGCAUCGACGCGAUGCCAUAGAGAAAGGAAUUCAACAAGAGGGGGCACUCGGCGAAAACUGGCAACAGGAAACACGUCAGGGCUAGUGUUAACCCCAUCCGCUAGUGGGUGCGAGCAGCGAAAAAAGAAAGUGAAAUGAAGUUACAGACGUUAUAUUUGUUUCUAUUCUUUCCCGCUAAAACUAAAGAGCUUUGCGCAUAGCUGAGCUUAUACUUUGCGUCUUAUUUUUCUUGCGUCACCUAGCAACAAGCUAGCGGCACGCAAGGCCGCAAGGCGCGACAGAUGCAUGCGUCAUGCGCCAGAAAGGCCACCGAAGCCAGCGAGGACGUUUGCGCACGUGAAGUUCGCCUGUUCGGCGACCCAUUUCUUUUGGAUGUAGCGUGUUUGUUGGGCUCCCGGAGUAUUCUUGCGUUCCUUCAGCGCUUUGAUACGGCACCACUGAACUUUUGGACUACAGCAAGCUUAUGCCGUCCGGCGCAACUUCGUGCGGGAACUACUGCUGCUUACUUGGUGCCACCACGUUGGACCAACGCACACAAAGCCCAGAACGAGCCAUUUGUAUAAAGCAAAAUAAAAAUUUCCUCAUUUACAA